rnacentral:rRNA from 1 species
GGAAAAGAAACCAACAAGGAUUGCCUCAGUAUCGGCGAGUGAAGCGGCAAAAGCUUAAAUUUGAAAUCUGGCACUAGCCCGAGUUGUAAUUUGUAGAGGAUGUCUUCAGCAAAAGGCUUUGAGUCUAAGUUCCCUGGAACGGGAUAUCAUGGAGGGUGAGAAUCCCGUACAUGGUUCAUUGUCUCUUGCAUCAUGAAGCUCCUUCAACGAGUCGAGUUGUUUGGGAAUGCAGCUCAAAACAGGAGGUAAAUUCCUUCCAAAGCUAAAUAUUAGCCAGAGACCGAUAGCGAACAAGUAGAGUGAUCGAAAGAUGAAAAGCACUUUGGAAAGAGAGUUAAAAAGUAUGUGAAAUUGUUGAAAGGGAAGCGCUUGCAACCAGACUUUUCACUGUAGGUCAGAUCAUCUAGGCUCUUUGGCCUAGUGUACUCUACCUAUAUUGUGUGCCAGCAUCGGUUUGUUAGUCGAGAGAUAAAGGUAGUGUGUUGUUAAUUCCUCCGGGAUUUUGGCAUGCACCUACAGGUACAUCUUGAACCCAGACCGAGGACAGCGCUUUUUGCAUGGAUGCUGGUGUAAUGGUUGUAAGCGGCCCGUCUUGAAACACGGACCAAGGAGUCCAACAUCCAUGCGAGUGUUUGGAUAUCAAGUCCGUACGCGCAAUGAAAGUGAAUGCAAGUGGGAACUCAUUUAUGUGUGCACCAUUGACCGAUCUUGAUCUUUUGAAAUGGAUUUGAGUAAGAGCAUGGCUGUUGGGACCCGAAAGAUGGUGAACUAUGCCCGCGUAGGCUGAAGUCAGGGGAAACCCUGAUGGAAGGUCGCAGCGGUUCUGACGUGCAAAUCGAUCGUCAAACGUGGGUAUAGGGGCGAAAGACCAAUCGAACCAUCUAGUAGCUGGUUCACGCCGAAGUUUCCCUCAGGAUAGCAGUGACGACAUCAGUUUUAUGAGGUAAAGCGAAUGAUUAGAAGCCUCGGGGUCGAAAUGGCCUCAGCUUAUUCUCAAACUUUGAAUGUGUAAGAAGCCCCUUGUUACUUAACAUGAACGUGGGAUUAGAAUGCACCGUCACUAGUGGGCCAUUUUUGGUAAGCAGAACGGCGAUGCGGGAUGAACCGAACGCGGGGUUAAGGUGCCAGAGUGCACGCUCAUCAGAUACCACAAAAGGUGUUGGUUCAUUUAGACAGCAGGACGGUGGCCAUGGAAGUCGGAAUCCGCUAAGGAGUGUGUAACAACUCACCUGUCGAAUGGACCAGCCCUGAAAAUGGAUGGCGCUAAAGCGUGUCACCUAUACCCCGCCGUUGGGGUAGAUAUUAUGCCUCAACGAGUAGGCGUGCGUGGAGGUUAGGUGAAGAAGCCUUAGGA